rnacentral:rRNA from 1 species
GACAUGCAAGUUUCUUUUCUUCUUCGGAAGUGAAGGAGCGGACUGCUCAGUAACACGUCGGUAACCUGCCCUUAAGCCUAAGAUAGCCUCUGGGAAACUGAGGGUAAUAUUUGAUAGGAGAAAUACCCUGGAAUGAUUUUUCUCCGAAUUAAGGAUGGGCCGGCGGCGGAUUAGGUUGUUGGCGGGGUAAUAGCCCACCAAGCCGAUGAUCCGUAAGGGCUCUUAGCGGAGGGGCCCUGAGAGGGAAUCUGAGACACAAUUCCCAGCCCCACGGGGUGCAGCAGUUAGGCAUAAUCUACAAUGCGCGCAAGCGUGAUAGUUUGAGCCAGAGUGCUUCUCAACUGAGAAGCUUUUGUGGAAUGUAAAAAGUUUUACGAAUAAGGACUGGGUAAGACUAGUGCCAGCCGCCGCGGUAAUACUAGCGGUCCAAGUCGCAGCCAUCUUUAUUGGGUCUAAAACAUCCGUAGCUUGCUUUAUAAGUCUCUUGUGAAAUCUUAUGUCUUAAGCAUAGGGCGCGCAAGAGGUACUGUAGAGCUAGAGACUGGGAGACGUGAGAAGUACGUUCAGAGUAGCGGUAAAAUGUUUUAAUCCUGAGCGGACUCACAAUAGCGAAGGCAUCUCACGAGAACAGUUCUGACAGUAAGGGAUGAAGGCUAGGGGCGCAAAACGGAUUAGAUACCCGUGUAGUCCUAGCAGUAAACACUGCACACUAAACAUCGGGAUCUCCUCGAGAGAUUUCGGUGCUGCAGGGAAGCCGAAGAGUGUGCUACCUGGGAAGUAUAGUCGCAAGGCCGAAACUUAAAGGAAUUGGCGGGGAGGCACUACAACGGGUGACGCGUGCGGUUCAAUUAGAUUAUACACCGUGAACCUCACCAGGAGCGACAGCAGAAUGAAGGUCAGUCUGAAGGGCUUACCUGACACCCUGAGAGGAGUUGCAUGGCCGACGUCAGCCUGUGUUGUGAAAUGACCUGUUAAAUCAGGUAACAGGCAAGACCCCCAUGUAUAUUUACAAUUUGCUAUAUACAGAUUGCCUUGGUAACAAGGAUGAAAGUUGGGGCUACGUUAGGUGAGUACAGCCCUAAUCCCCUGGGCAACACGCGCGCGUCAAUGGUGGAUACAACGGGAUGCGACUCCGAAAGGAGAAGCUAAUCUCUUAAAGUCCAUCUCAGUCCAGAUCGAGGUUUGUAACUCAGCCUCGUGACGCUGGAAUCCGUAGUAAUCGUUUGUUAGCAGCGAGCG